CAUCGGCUGCGGGCCCCUCUGGCGGGCGCUCCUCAGCGCCCGUGAUGUCGGAGCCGAUGC
rfam:Methylobacterium radiotolerans JCM 2831, complete genome.